GACGAACGCUGGCGGUAUGCCUAAUACAUGCAAGUCGAACGCUGAAACACUCUGCUUGCAGAGUGUGGAUGAGUGGCGAACGGGUGAGUAACACGUGGGGAACCUGCCCAUAAGAGGGGGAUAACAUCCGGAAACGGGUGCUAAUACCGCAUAGGUGAUCAUAGCGCAUGCUUAGAUCAUUAAAGAUGGCUUCGGCUAUCGCUUAUGGAUGGCCCCGCGGCGUAUUAGCUAGUUGGUGAGGUAAUGGCUCACCAAGGCUGUGAUACGUAGCCGACCUGAGAGGGUGAUCGGCCACACUGGAACUGAGACACGGUCCAGACUCCUACGGGAGGCAGCAGUAGGGAAUCUUCCACAAUGGGCGAAAGCCUGAUGGAGCAAUACCGCGUGAGUGAAGAAGGUCUUCGGAUCGUAAAGCUCUGUUGUUAGAGAAGAACAAGAGGUGUAGUAACUGGCACCUCCUUGACGGUAUCUAACCAGAAAGUCACGGCUAACUACGUGCCAGCAGCCGCGGUAAUACGUAGGUGACAAGCGUUGUCCGGAUUUAUUGGGCGUAAAGCGAGCGCAGGCGGUCUUUUAAGUCUGAUGUGAAAGCCCACGGCUCAACCGUGGAGGGUCAUUGGAAACUGGAAGACUUGAAUGCAGAAGAGGAAAGUGGAAUUCCAUGUGUAGCGGUGAAAUGCGUAGAUAUAUGGAGGAACACCAGUGGCGAAGGCGACUUUCUGGUCUGUAAUUGACGCUGAGGCUCGAAAGCGUGGGGAGCGAACAGGAUUAGAUACCCUGGUAGUCCACGCCGUAAACGAUGAGUGCUAAGUGUUGGAGGGUUUCCGCCCUUCAGUGCUGGAGCUAACGCAUUAAGCACUCCGCCUGGGGAGUACGGCCGCAAGGC
rnacentral:rRNA from 1 species